UACGAAGGGGGGCUAGCGUUGUUCGGAAUUACUGGGCGUAAAGCGUGCGCAGGCGGUUGUGUAAGACAGAUGUGAAAUCCCCGGGCUCAACCUGGGAACUGCAUUUGUGACUGCACAGCUGGAGUGCGGCAGAGGGGGAUGGAAUUCCGCGUGUAGCAGUGAAAUGCGUAGAUAUGCGGAGGAACACCGAUGGCGAAGGCAAUCCCCCUGGGCCUGCACUGACGCUCAUGCACGAAAGCGUGGGGAGCGAACAGG
rnacentral:rRNA from 1 species